GAUGAACGCUGGCGGCGUGCCUAAUACAUGCAAGUCGAGCGAACGGACGAGAAGCUUGCUUCUUUGAUGUUAGCGGCGGACGGGUGAGUAACACGUGGAUAACCUACCUAUAAGUCUGGGAUAACUUCGGGAAACCGGAGCUAAUACCGGAUAAUAUUUUGAACCGCAUGGUUCAAAAGUGAAAGACGGUCUUGCUGUCUCUUAUAGAUGGUUCCGCGCUGCAUUAGCUAGUUGGUAAGGUAACGGCUUACCAAGGCAACGAUGCAUAGCCGACCUGAGAGGGUGAUCGGCCACACUGGAACUGAGACACGGUCCAGACUCCUACGGGAGGCAGCAGUAGGGAAUCUUCGGCAAUGGGCGAAAGCCUGACGGAGCAACGCCGCGUGAGUGAUGAAGGUCUUCGGAUCGUAAAACUCUGUUAUUAGGGAAGAACAUAUGUGUAAGUAACUGUGCACAUCUUGACGGUACCUAAUCAGAAAGCCACGGCUAACUACGAG
rnacentral:rRNA from 1 species